UUAAGUGACUAAGCGUACAAGGUGGAUGCCUUGGCAAUCAGAGGCGACGAAGGACGUGCUAAUCUGCGAAAAGCUUGGAUGAGUCGAUAAGAGGCGUUUAAUCCAAGAUGUCCGAAUGGGGAAACCCAGUAGAUGAAGAAUCUACUAUCACUUACUGAAUCCAUAGGUAAGUGAGGCAAACCGGGAGAACUGAAACAUCUAAGUACCCCGAGGAAAAGAAAUCAACCGAGAUUUCGUUAGUAGCGGCGAGCGAACGCGAAGGAGCCUGUUAGUGAUAAUGACAGAGACAGAGGAACAAGCUGGGAAGCUUGGCGAUACAGGGUGAUAGCCCCGUACUCGAAGUCCAGGUCAUGGUACUAAGCUAACGACAAGUAGGGCGGGACACGUGAUAUCCUGUUUGAAGAUGGGGGGACCAUCCUCCAAGGCUAAAUACUCCUGAUUGACCGAUAGUGAACCAGUACUGUGAAGGAAAGGCGAAAAGAACCCCGGUGAGGGGAGUGAAAUAGAACCUGAAACCUUGUACGUACAAGCAGUGGGAGCCCUUUAAGGGUGACUGCGUACCUUUUGUAUAAUGGGUCAGCGACUUAUAUUUUGUAGCGAGGUUAACCGAAUAGGGGAGCCGAAGGGAAACCGAGUCUUAACUGGGCGUCUAGUUGCAAGGUAUAGACCCGAAACCCGGUGAUCUAGCCAUGGGCAGGUUGAAGGUUGGGUAACACUAACUGGAGGACCGAACCGACUAAUGUUGAAAAAUUAGCGGAUGACUUGUGGCUGGGGGUGAAAGGCCAAUCAAACCGGGAGAUAGCUGGUUCUCCCCGAAAUCUAUUUAGGUAGAGCCUUGAGCGGACACCUUCGGGGGUAGAGCACUGUUUCGGCUAGGGGUCCAUCCCGGAUUACCAACCCGAUGCAAACUACGAAUACCGAAGAGUGAUACUCAGGAGACACACGGCGGGUGCUAACGUCCGUCGUGGAGAGGGAAACAACCCAGACCGCCAGCUAAGGUCCCAAAGUCUAUAUUAAGUGGGAAACGAAGUGGGAAGGCUUAGACAGCUAGGAUGUUGGCUUAGAAGCAGCCAUCAUUUAAAGAAAGCGUAAUAGCUCACUAGUCGAGUCGGCCUGCGCGGAAGAUGUAACGGGGCUCAAAUAUAGCACCGAAGCUGCGGCAUCAGACGAAAGUCUGUUGGGUAGGGGAGCGUUCUGUAAGCGGAUGAAGGUGAAUCGAGAGGUUUGCUGGACGUAUCAGAAGUGCGAAUGCUGACAUAAGUAACGAUAAAACGGGUGAAAAACCCGUUCGCCGGAAGACCAAGGGUUCCUGUCCAACGUUAAUCGGGGCAGGGUGAGUCGGCCCCUAAGGCGAGGCUGAAAAGCGUAGUCGAUGGGAAACGGGUUAAUAUUCCCGUACUUGGAUAAACUGCGAUGUGGGGACGGAGCAGGUUAGGUUAUCGCACUGUUGGAUAUGUGCGUUUAAGUUGGUAGGUGUGAAGUUUAGGCAAAUCCGGACUUCUAUAACACCGAGAGAUGAUGACGAGGCUCUACGGAGCUGAAGUAACCGAUACCACACUUCCAGGAAAAGCCACUAAGCUUCAGGUUUAUCUAAACCGUACUGAAAACCGACACAGGUGGUCAGGUAGAGAAUACUCAGGCGCUUGAGAGAACUCGGGUGAAGGAACUAGGCAAAAUAGCACCGUAACUUCGGGAGAAGGUGCGCCGGCGUAGAUUGUAGUCCCUAGCGGGCGAAGGUUGAACCGGUCGAAGAUACCAGCUGGCUGCAACUGUUUAUUAAAAACACAGCACUCUGCAAACACGAAAGUGGACGUAUAGGGUGUGAUGCCUGCCCGGUGCUGGAAGGUUAAUUGAUGGUGUAAUCGAAAGAGAAGCUCCUGAUCGAAGCCCCAGUAAACGGCGGCCGUAACUAUAACGGUCCUAAGGUAGCGAAAUUCCUUGUCGGGU
rnacentral:rRNA from 1 species